GGGGGGGGGUUGUAAGUGAGAGUGAUCUGGUGUGUUUUGUUGUCCAUUUGAACUCCAAACAGCCUCAUAAGUCUGGUAUCAGAUGGGCCGGGCCCGGGUAAUGGGAGAGUGGGACUGCAGCGGGCCAGCCUGGGGCAAAGAGCCGUUAUCAAGAAAGCUCUGUUCUUUAAUGGUAUUGAUUCUGCUUUAAAUACACUCACCUCUCCCAGUGAAUAAUUUACAAUGGCAGCAGAAGGACUAUUGCAGACAGAGGGACCCAGACAUUGGGGAAGUGAAUGAUUUUUGUCCUCAUUGGAGGAUGUGGGUUUGGGUCUCACUAUGAGGGAGUGCAGGUAGGGUGUGGGUUUGGGUCUAUGAGGGAGUGCAGGUAGAUUUCAGCAUUGUUUUUCCUUUCUUUUUUUAUUACGUUUUUUUUUUUAAAGUGUGUUGGGGAGGAUCGGGUUACGCUGCUGCUGCCUGUUUGUUUUUUCAGUAGUAGUAUCUCUGCUGAAGGUGGCACCUAAAGUGAUAACAUUCCUGAAGAACUGGAACAUUUGACACCUGAAAAAACAACAGAGUGCGACUCCUUCCUGUGGCCGCUUCGCAGUCGGGGACUCUCUACAUGUCAAACUACAGGAAGAUUUCAGAUGUUAGCUACACUUUUAGAUAAAAGAAUGUCUUGUUUGUGCAGUUGUUUUGUAGUGGAAGGUUUGGAAGGGCUGCGUCAGAUAACCCUCUGACUAACAUCUUUGUUUGCUGCUGCUGCAGUGGCCAGUAUUGUUUUGGUGUGGUUUUACUCUCCUUACAGAUAGGCUUGGUUAUUUAUCCGUGGUCAGACGAUGGGCCUGGUUCGGUGGCUCGUGGUGGUGCAUGUUUGAUCAUGUUUGCCAACAUAGUAAACAGUUUAAUCAUGCAUCCAAUGAAAAUACCAGAAAUUCUUCAAAACUCUGUCUGGUCAUGACUCACCGGUUUUAGCGCUAUAGAACCGAUUGCAGACAGAUUGCGUACAAACGCCAGGCCGACCUCUCCGGCCACUUCCCAUGCAUUUCUAUUUUUAAGGCCAGCUGCAGAGCCCCCCAAGAGACGUCUCAAAGCCCCCAGUUUGUCCAGAUGCUGUUUCAGUGUUUAGGGUAGCAGACAGUUCUCUGACUGUAAAUGAUGUGUACAACUGGAGGUAGAUCUGUGUGUUGUAAUUAAAGGUAUGUCAGCUUAAUGGGCUUAAUCAAAGUCUUUACAGGCACAUCUCGCUACUCGGCAGCCAUCUUGGUAACUCUCCUGGGCAGCUAUUUCGGGCAUCGGGCUC
ensembl:lncRNA